UAAACUAUCGAUCAUUCCUCGCUUUACCGUUUAAUUCGAACUAAGGCGAUCCAAAAAGGCGCCAAAUUGGGAGCGACCAUCGCAUUUCGACACCCCCCAUUGCAGCAAGGGGCGCCAAAUUUCAUCAUCUCCCAGUUCCUCUUUCCUUCUGCAAUUUAGCCCUAAAAUUUCUCCUGCGAUUAAUCACUUGAUUGUUGAAAAUUCGGAGCAGGACGAAGAAAUAAAGAGUGGAACGCUUCAAAUCAACUGGCAAGACUCGUUAUCAAGGAGGUGAGCUGAUCAUAUGGAAUUUGCACCAUUUGGAAAGUGGCCAGACUUGGAAGGUCCUGAAGACGUUAUUGUAUUUGUAACAUAUCACCAACGUUGAAAUCGGUUAAUACAACCUAUAUAUUUUCUAGAAAGGGUCUUUCGAGGCAAGACUCAAUUAUGUGUAAUUACUAGUUUGCUUAUAAUGAUAAAUGAUAAUUAUGAUGAAGCAAUAAUGAUUCGUGAUACCGAGCAUCUUUGUACAUCUAUGACACUGAAAGUGUUGUGCCACUAGCAAUCAUGGCUGGUCUUCACUAUGCUACCAUAACUAAUGUUGCAUGGUUGGCAGAUGCUCAUUAUUUAGAACUGGCUUCUCACGAUGGUUACUGUACUUUGGUGGAAUUUGAAAAUUAUGAGCUGGGAUCACCAAUCGUGCUAUCAGAUGAUAGAACAUGCACAACGACCAAUCAGAAUACGAGUUCAACAGAUGCGGUGACUGUAAACGAUGAUCAAAAUAGGAAAACAGAAGCAGAAGUGAAACAAGAAGAAAACAAAAGCAUUGGAAAACCAGAUAACAUAGUGAUUGAAAAAAUAGCCGACACCAAAGGACAUGAAAUGAAAAAGAGGACUAGUAAACAGGUACAUAAGCUCUUCAAGCGACUCUGUUGCCAGCAAGCCAGCCAAAAGGCGCAUUACACCAUGGCUAUUGUUCCAUGAAAGAGGAAUAAAAAAGUUUGAGUUGACAUGACGAUGAGGAUAUAUGUAGGCCCAAGUGUGUUGGACCAGAUGAUUUGUUGGGUUGUGUCACAAAGGUCACAUGAAUUGAUAAGACCCAUUGGCACAGCUUGCAACUUGGCUGGAUUUGCAGGGUUAUGAGAAAGUCACCUCAUGUUAAACCCAAAGCUGCAGGGAGAGCAACACUUCUGAUACCGCAAGGCAGCUGCCUCAAAGUCUGUAUUAUCUUUGAGUAGCA